rnacentral:rRNA from 1 species
ACUUAGUGGCAGACGGGUGAGUAACAUGUGGGUAUCUACCCUUUGGCCUGGAAUAACACGAGGAAACUUGUGCUAAUACCGGAUAAGUCUUUACGGAGAAAGCUUUAUGCACCAAUGGAUGAGCCCGCACUAGAUUAGUUUGUUGGUGGGGUAAUAGCCUACCAAGACUAUGAUCUAUAGCUGAUUUGAGAGGAUGAUCAGCCACAUUGGGACUGAGACACGGCCCAAACUCCUACGGGAGGCAGCAGUGGGGAAUCUUGCACAAUGGAGGAAACUCUGAUGCAGCGAUGCCGCGUGAGUGAAGAAGGCCCUUGGGUUGUAAAGCUCUUUCGUCGGGGAAGAAAAUGACUGUACCCGAAUAAGAAGGUCCGGCUAACUUCGUGCCAGCAGCCGCGGUAAUACGAAGGGACCUAGCGUAGUUCGGAUUUACUGGGCUUAAAGAGUUCGUAGGUGGUUGAAAAAGUUGGUGGUGAAAUCCCAGAGCUUAACUCUGGAACUGCCAUCAAAACUUUUCAG